UACGGAGGGGGCUAGCGUUGUUCGGAAUUACUGGGCGUAAAGCGCACGUAGGCGGAUGGACAAGUCAGAGGUGAAAUCCCAGGGCUCAACCUUGGAACUGCCUUUGAAACUUUCCAUCUUGAGGUCGAGAGAGGUGAGUGGAAUUCCGAGUGUAGAGGUGAAAUUCGUAGAUAUUCGGAGGAACACCAGUGGCGAAGGCGGCUCACUGGCUCGAUACUGACGCUGAGGUGCGAAAGCGUGGGGAGCAAACAGG
rnacentral:ncRNA from 2 species